rnacentral:lncRNA from 1 species
CAUCUCAGCAUGGUUGAGGGGUGCAGGCAGGAACACUCGGUCCAUGUUUUAGGGACCUGGGAGCUCCAUGGCCUGGAGGAAUCUGGAUGUCCCAAGUUCCCAAGGUAUCUUAUCAUGUUAAGAGGCAGACUCUCCCAUGUGUGCACUACUUCAGGGGCACUACAAGGGCCCAGCAUUCAGCAGUUGGGUGGAAGAUGCCAUUUGGCAUCGUUGUAGCAAGUGCUUCUUGUUCACUGUCAGGUUUAUCUUGCACCAAGGAAUCUCAGUCUGGAAGACACCAGAGCUCAGGAAAUCACCUAUCCGGAAUGCUUCUAAGAAAGUAAAUGAUAAUAGGUGACAUUCAGAGUUAUCUUCCAAGGUUCAGGCAUUGUUCUGAGUGCUCGAUAUGUUUUUUUCUAUUAUCACAUCCAUUUUACAGAUGAGGAAACUGUGGCUUGGAGAGAUUGUGUUGCCUCUAAUGCCACUGCCAGUGAGUGUCAGAGUUGGGCUUCAAACCCGGGCAUCUGGUUGCAGAGUCCACUGUGGUGACCCCUGCAGUGAUUAGCCUUGAUGAAGGAGAUGAGGUUCUACCUGAACUCACAGGCCAGCAGUGGAGAAAGACGAAAAAUUAAUGAGCCCAUAAAAUCAUU